rnacentral:lncRNA from 1 species
GUCAAGUAUCAGCAUCUGAAGAAGAAGAAUGGAUGGAGCAUGACGAACUGGCCUGCUGCUGUCUCAUCAGCUCCAUCGUCUAUUCCAUCUAUGCCAUUCACUUCAUCAUCUGCAUCUGGAACAACUGAUACGAGUCGAUGCAUACAGUCAACUCAUCAGCUUACUGUCGAUCCUCAGCAGUCGGUCUCUGUAUCUCCAUCAGUCAGAUAUCGCAGGCAGUAUGGAUGUCAGUCUUGGACAAGCAUGAGGAUGGGGGAG